GGAGAAGUGGCUGAGUGGUUGAAGGCGGCAGAUUGCUAAUCUGUUGUAUAAUUUUUUUUAUAUCGAGGGUUCGAAUCCCUUCUUCUCCU
rnacentral:tRNA from 1 species